CCUACGGUGAGCUGUAGUGGGGAAUAUUGGACAAUGGGCGAAAGCCUGAUCCAGCCAUGCCGCGUGUGUGAAGAAGGCCUUCGGGUUGUAAAGCACUUUCAGUGGGGAAGAAAGCCUUGGGGCUAAUACCCUCGAGGAAGGACAUCACCCACAGAAGAAGCACCGGCUAACUCCGUGCCAGCAGCCGCGGUAAUACGGAGGGUGCGAGCGUUAAUCGGAAUUACUGGGCGUAAAGCGCGCGUAGGCGGUCUGAUAAGCCGGUUGUGAAAGCCCCGGGCUCAACCUGGGAACGGCAUCCGGAACUGUCAGGCUAGAGUGCAGGAGAGGAAGGUAGAAUUCCCGGUGUAGCGGUGAAAUGCGUAGAGAUCGGGAGGAAUACCAGUGGCGAAGGCGGCCUUCUGGACUGACACUGACGCUGAGGUGCGAAAGCGUGGGUAGCAAACAGGAUUAGAUACCCCGGUAGUC
rnacentral:rRNA from 1 species